GAUGAACGCUGGCGGCGUGCCUAAUACAUGCAAGUCGAGCGACCAGACGAUGAGCUUUCUCCUCUGACGUUAGCGGCUGACGGGUGAGUAACACGUGGAUAACCUACCUCUUUUUCUUGGAUAACUUCGUGAAACCGGUUCUUCUACCGUCUAAUAUAUUGAACCGCUUGGUUCAAUAGUUAUUGACGGUUUUGCUGUCUCUUUUAGCUGGUUCCGCGCUGCAUUAGCUAGUUGGUAAGGUAACGGCUUACCAAGGCAACGAUGCGUAGCCGACAUGAGAGGGGGAUCGGCAACACUGGAACUGAGACACGGUCAAGACUACUACGGGAGGCAGCAGUAGGGAAUAUUCCGCAAUGGGCGAAAGCAUGACGGAGCAACGCCGCGUGAGUGAUGAAGGACUUCGGAUCGUAAAACUCUGUUAUUAGGGAAGAAAAAAAGUGUAAGAAAAUAUGCACGUAAUGACGGUAACUAAACAGAAAGCAACGGCUAACUACGUG
rnacentral:rRNA from 1 species